CCGAAACACCGGUUUCUGUAUGAUCACCGAAGUUAAACAACGUCGAGCCUGGUCAGUACCUCGUUGGGUGACCGCUUGGGAAUGCCAGAUACUGUAAU